UACGUAGGGUGCGAGCGUUGUCCGGAAUUAUUGGGCGUAAAGAGCUUGUAGGCAGUUUGUCGCGUCUGCUGUGAAAAUCCGGGGCUCAACCCCGGACUUGCAGUGGGUACGGGCAGACUAGAGUGUGGUAGGGGAGACUGGAAUUCCUGGUGUAGCGGUGAAAUGCGCAGAUAUCAGGAGGAACACCGAUGGCGAAGGCAGGUCUCUGGGCCACUACUGACGCUGAGAAGCGAAAGCAUGGGGAGCGAACAGG
rnacentral:rRNA from 1 species